UUGUCAAGGGAAUGGGAGCAAGUCUAAGAGACAUCUGACCAAGAUAUCUUAGCUAUGUCAUCAUAGCUGAGAUCUGAAACUUAAACUCUGUUCUACAAUAUGAAUACUAUUCAGCUAAGUGUAGGAGGCCAUUGCAGGCAAAGAAAAUAAUAUGAGACAUAUUCUUCAGGAGUUUCUGAGCUUUGAUUGUCUUAGGUAGCUAAUGGUAGUGGUGAUAGGGAUUUACAUAAAAAGUAGAAAAAAGUUUUAUGUAUGACUGACUAGUAGUCCUUGGGUCACUAAAACAGUAAUUAAAGGACUGAUAUUCCUAUUUAGAAAUGAUGUUAGUGCCUAGAAUGAUAGAGCAUAAAUUUAGCUUCUCCCUAGAAGGCAAACCACAUUAUUUGAUUGUGGGUUUUGCCUCCAGUGGGUUAUUAAUGCAACACAGAGUAUGCCAUAGAUGUGAUCUCUGUUCUCAAGGAUGGUAAAAUCUGAACUGGGCUUACUUUGAUAAGAGGCAAAAGAAUAAGAUUGAGGCAGCAAAAUUGAUAUAUUUCCUUGAUAUGUCACCAGAUAUAUACUUCAUUUGCAAGUUGUGGGCAAGUGUGUUGUAUAGAAUUAAAAAAAUAAAAGUGUGUGAUUUGAACAGGGAAUAGGGAAAAUUUCUGUAGAUUAUUCAAGUGUGUGGUGUAGUGGCUUUCAAUUCUAAUAAAAAGUGAUGCUUCAACCUUCUCCCUUAUUAUGCUCUAUUAUGUUCUUUUACUAGCCAUGUUUUCUACACACUUCCACCAGCUACCUGCCAGUCUUUCUAUUCCAUCAUUGCCCUGCUAGUUAAAUGGCUUUAAAUGUGUACUGAGUGUCAGCAGACUCUAGGUGCCCUGAAGGAAGAAGAACUCUGCCUGGGCAUUCAUUCUAAAUUAAGCAUAAAGGUUAGUGCUCAAUUGUGAACAUGCUCAAAUCAUAUUUUCAAAAUACCUUACCAUCUUAUAGCUGAUUCCAACAGCUAAGUAUUAAUGCUACCCAGACUCUCAUUUACUUCAGUAUAAGCUGUUUACAAUUAGAGUCAAUGAUACUUUAGAAAAGAAAAAAAACAGCUUAUAGUUGUAGAUGAUCAAAUGAUAAGUGUCUGUUAAAACACACAGUGGACUUGUGUUUGGGGAAUUUAAAAAUGUUUAAAUCAAAGAGAACAUAAAAAUAGUAAUAAGGAAAUAUAGCCUACUAUGGCUCACAGAAAAUAGGUGUGUUUACAUUUUGGAAAAUUUCCUAUUUACAAAAUCCAAAUUGAAUAAGAUAUAUGAGCUGAUUAGUUACACUUCUGAAAGAUCUAGUUGAAGAAGAUCUGUUAAAAUAAGUAAUGCAUCUUCCAAUUUUAAGUGUUGGCUUUAGUAGAUUAUGAACUCUCUGGUGAGAUAUCUAGCAAGGAAACAAAGGUCAAGUAUUUAAACUAAUGUCAAAUGAAAAAUGAAGAUGAACCAUCCCU
rnacentral:lncRNA from 1 species